AGACGACAGAAUGACAGCGGUAGACGACAGAAUGACAGCGGUAGAUGACAGAAUGACAGCGGUAGAUGACAGAAUGACAGCGGUAGAUGACAGGAGCUUGACAGACGACAAUUUGCAUAACAUAGUCGUUGCCGUCGUUGAUAAUUUGACACAUUGUCCCAUUUUGACAGUUCAACUUCGUUAAUUCUAUCUACGUGCUUCUUAGGUGACGAUAAGCCUUGUCGUGAAAGCAAAAUUAUUGAAUAAACCAAUUUUAAGGUAUAAAUUACGGGAAAGUCAAAUUUUAUUAUUCCUACUCGCGGAUGCUGUUAAAGAAAAAGAGCGUCUAAAAAUCUCGUGCAUAGCUUUAUCAAGACACUCUUACAACCCGUCUGAUAUGCCAGACGAAGAAUUUCGGGCAUUUCGCAUAUUUACAGUUAUGUGCCGAACUUAACGCCGAGCCUCAAAAGUCAAAACGGUGAUGGAUUACUAAAACACCUAAAGGUUCUAACAGGUGUAAUAACACCUGCUAGCUGAUGGCAACUAGUCCAUUGGUCAGACUACUGUGAGCCAGUAGCUAUUGAAGCAAUUUGUAAUAGCUGUAAAUAGAAG